GACGAACGCUGGCGGCGUGCUUAACACAUGCAAGUCGAGCGGUAAGGCCCUUUCGGGGGUACACGAGCGGCGAACGGGUGAGUAACACGUGGGUGACCUGCCCUCAGCUCUGGGAUAAGCCCGGGAAACCGGGUCUAAUACCGGAUAUGACUCCAUGACGCAUGUUGUGGGGUGGAAAGCCUUGCGCGGCUGAGGAUGGGCCCGCGGCCUAUCAGCUUGUUGGUGGGGUGANGGCCUACCAAGGCGACGACGGGUAGCCGGCCUGAGAGGGCGACCGGCCACACUGGGACUGAGACACGGCCCAGACUCCUACGGGAGGCAGCAGUGGGGAAGUCUUGCGCAAUGGGCGAAAGCCUGACGCAGCGACGCCGCGUGAGGGAUGACGGCCUCGG
rnacentral:rRNA from 1 species